rnacentral:rRNA from 1 species
UAGCCACGGUAACACCAGCUUCCCCGAGUGGUCGGGACGAUUAUUGGGCCUAAAGCGUCCGUAGCCGGUCCGGUAAGUCCUCUGUUAAAUCCAGCGAUCCAAUCGCUGGACUGCAGGGGAUACUGCUGGACUAGGGGGCGGAAGAGGCUGGCGGUAUUCCCGAGGGAGGGCGAAAAUCCUAAGAUCUCGGGAGGACCACCAGUGGCGAAGGC